UGCUGAAAAACAGCAGUAAAAACCCCUGAUAAGGGUGAGGUCGGUGGUUCAAGUCCACUCAGGCCUACCA
rnacentral:tRNA from 1 species